GUGCUGAAGUUAUGGGGCAAGACUUGCUUCAGUCGGGCUUUGGUGCUCACUGAGUCUGCCCCUUGAGUGUGUCUCU
rnacentral:pre_miRNA from 1 species